rnacentral:rRNA from 1 species
GACGAAUGCUGGCGGCGUGCUUAACACAUGCAAGUCGAACGGAAAGACCCUGCUUUUGUGGGGUGCUCGAGUGGCGAACGGGUGAGUAACACGUGAGUAACCUGCCCUUGACUUUGGGAUAACUUCAGGAAACUGGGGCUAAUACCGGAUAGGAGCUCCUGCUGCAUGGUGGGGGUUGGAAAGUUUCGGCGGUUGGGGAUGGACUCGCGGCUUAUCAGCUUGUUGGUGGGGUAGUGGCUUACCAAGGCUUUGACGGGUAGCCGGCCUGAGAGGGUGACCGGCCACAUUGGGACUGAGAUACGGCCCAGACUCCUACGGGAGGCAGCAGUGGGGAAUAUUGCACAAUGGGCGGAAGCCUGAUGCAGCAACGCCGCGUGCGGGAUGACGGCCUUCGGGUUGUAAACCGCUUUCGCCUGUGACGAAGCGUGAGUGACGGUAAUGGGUAAAGAAGCACCGGCUAACUACGUG